rnacentral:rRNA from 1 species
GACGAACGCUGACGGCGUGCUUAACACAUGCAAGUCGAACGGAAAGGCCCUGCUUGCAGGGUACUCGAGUGGCGAACGGGUGAGUAACACGUGGGUGAUCUGCCCUGCACUUCGGGAUAAGCCUGGGAAACUGGGUCUAAUACCGGACAGGAGCCAUUUUUAGUGUGAUGGUUGGAAAGUUUUUUCGGUGUAGGAUGAGCUCGCGGCCUAUCAGCUUGUUGGUGGGGUAAUGGCCUACCAAGGCGGCGACGGGUAGCCGGCCUGAGAGGGUGGACGGCCACAUUGGGACUGAGAUACGGCCCAGACUCCUACGGGAGGCAGCAGUGGGGAAUAUUGCACAAUGGGCGCAAGCCUGAUGCAGCGACGCCGCGUGGGGGAUGACGGCCUUCGGGUUGUAAACUCCUUUCGCUAGGGACGAAGCUUUUUGUGACGGUACCUAGAUAAGAAGCACCGGCUAACUACGUG